rnacentral:rRNA from 1 species
UGCUCUUUAAUGGAUAAAACACCUAAAUCUUACUUAAAUUUGUUAAGUCAAUUUGUAUACCACUAUUAAAUUAAUUAAUAAUUUUAAUUUAUAAAAUUUAUAUAAAUUUAAAAAAAAUUAAGUCAAGGUGCAGUAAAAGUUUAAGAAUGAAGUGAAUUACAAUUCUUUUAAGAGAUUAUUUAAAUUAAAAUUUUAAUUUAGGAUUUGAAAGUAAAAUUAAAAUAGAAUGUUAAUUUGAAUUAAGCUCUA